GCAUAUCAAUAAGCGGAGGAAAAGAAACUAACAAGGAUUCCCUUAGUAACGGCGAGUGAAGCGGGAAGAGCUCAAAUUUGAAAUCUUCAAGGUUUUACCUUGACGAAUUGUAGUUUAAAGAAGUGUUUUCUGCUGAAGUUUUGGUAAAAGUUCUUUGGAAUAGGACAUCAUAGAGGGUGAGAAUCCCGUAUUUGACCAUUAUUUUCAGCUUUGUGAUACACUUUCAAAGAGUCGGAUUGUUUGGGAAUGCAGUCCAAAAUGGGUGGUAAAUUUCAUCUAAAGCUAAAUAUUGGCGAGAGACCGAUAGCGAACAAGUACCGUGAGGGAAAGAUGAAAAGAACUUUGAAAAGAGAGUUAAACAGUACGUGAAAUUGUCAAAAGGGAAGCGUUUGACACCAGUGUUGUUUUCUCGAAAAUCAAUUAAAAAUGGCUCGAUUUUGUAUUGCUGAGACCUUAAAAGCUCACUGUACAUUUUUCGUGUCUUUUUUAAUGCACUUUUCGUUUAACAAGUCAACAUCAGUUUCUUUUGUUGUAAAAGGGUCAUUGGAAGGUGGCUUUCUUUUCGGAGAAAGUGUUUAUAGCCUUUGGCCUCUGCAAUCGGAGAGACUGAGGUCUGCAGCGUAGAUCCUUCGGGGCUAAAUGCAUUUGUGCUAAGUUAUAGCAUUUUAUAGACAACUUGUUGACUAUGAUUUGUCUUGUAGCUUACUCGCUUAUGUUAUUUUACCUACGCUUAGGAUGUUGACAAAAUGGUUUUAAACGACCCGUCUUGAAACACGGACC
rnacentral:rRNA from 1 species